UACAGAGGUCUCAAGCGUUGUUCGGAUUCAUGGGGCGUAAAGGGUGCGUAGGUGGCGCCGUAAGUCGGGUGUGAAAUUUCGGAGCUUAACUCCGAAACUGCAUUCGAUACUGCGGUGCUUGAGGACUGGAGAGGAGACUGGAAUUCAUGGUGUAGCAGUGAAAUGCGUAGAGAUCAUGAGGAAGACCAGUGGCGAAGGCGGGUCUCUGGACAGUUCCUGACACUGAGGCACGAAGGCCAGGGGAGCAAACGGG
rnacentral:rRNA from 1 species